CUACGGGUGGCAGCAGUGGGGAAUAUUGCACAAUGGGGGGAACCCUGAUGCAGCAACGCCGCGUGGAGGAUGACACAUUUCGGUGCGUAAACUCCUUUUAUAUAAGAAGAUAGUGACGGUAUUAUAUGAAUAAGCACCGGCUAACUCCGUGCCAGCAGCCGCGGUAAUACGGGGGGUGCAAGCGUUACUCGGAAUCACUGGGCGUAAAGAGCAUGUAGGCGGGUAGAAAAGUUGGAAGUGAAAUCCUAUGGCUUAACCAUAGAACUGCUUCCAAAACUCUUUACCUAGAAUAUGGGAGAGGUAGAUGGAAUUUCUGGUGUAGGGGUAAAAUCUGUAGAGAUCAGAAGGAAUACCGAUUGCGAAGGCGAUCUACUGGAACAUUAUUGACGCUCAGAUGCGAAAGCGUGGGGAGCAAACAGGAUUAGAUACCCGCGUAGUC
rnacentral:rRNA from 1 species